rnacentral:rRNA from 1 species
UUGGAUUGGUCCUUGCAUAUGUUCCUUGGAACAGGACAUCAUAGAGGGUGAGAAUCCCGUUCAUGGUGGGGAAUCCAAUUCUUUGUAAAGUGCUUUCGAAGAGUCGAGUUGUUUGGGAAUGCAGCUCUAAGUGGGUGGUAAAUUCCAUCUAAAGCUAAAUAUUGGCGAGAGACCGAUAGCGAACAAGUACAGUGAUGGAAAGAUGAAAAGAACUCCGAAAGGAGAGUGAAAAAGGACGUGAAAUUGUUGAAAGGGAAGUGCUUGAGAUCAGUCUUAAGGUUUAGUGAUCAGUCUUCCUUUUGGUUGGUGCACUCACUAUUUCUUAGGCCAACAUCAGUUUUCGCGGCAGGAUAAUGACAUUGGAAUGUGGCUUUUUCCGGGAGUGUUAUAGCCUUUGUUGAUACUGCCUGCUUAGACUGAGGACCGCGCUUUUGCUAGGAUGUUGGCAUAAUGAUCUUA